ACAAACCUGGUGCUGGUCCGGUGCAAGAAGUCCUGCCGAGCGUUGCGCACCUUGCGAUGAGCACGAGCGACCUUGGUUUUCGCCUUGCGGCGAUUACUGCUGCCGCGCAGGCAACGUGCCAACCUCCGCUGAUAGCGAGCCAGAUUCUGCGCCUUGCGGACCAGGUGCCGCGGAUUCGCGAUCCGCUCCCCUUGACUGGUCACCGCGAAAUCCGCCAAACCGAGGUCGACGGCGAUGUCCUGGCUCGUGGGCUCAGCCGGAGUGGGAGCAUCGGUGUCGACAGCAAACGUCACGUACCAGCGACCGUCCGCCUCACGAGAGACCACAACGGUUGUCGGAUCCAGCCUCUCGAGAUCCCUGUCAUCGAACGACCACACGAACCGCAGCGGCGUCCUGGUCUUGGCCAGUACCAGCGACCCGUCACGCAGCCUGAACGCCGAUCGCGUGUAGUGCGCGCUUUGACGACCCGUGCGGGACUUGAACCUGGGGUAGCGAGAGCGUCCAGCGAAGAAGUUCCGAAAGGCGGUGUGUUGGUGUCGCAGUGUCUGCUGCAACGGCACCGAGGACACCUCAGACAAGAACGCGAAUUGCUCGG
rnacentral:antisense_RNA from 1 species